rnacentral:rRNA from 1 species
AUUGAACGCUGGCGGCAUGCCUUACACAUGCAAGUCGAACGGCAGCACGGGUGCUUGCACCUGGUGGCGAGUGGCGAACGGGUGAGUAAUACAUCGGAACAUGUCCUGUAGUGGGGGAUAGCCCGGCGAAAGCCGGAUUAAUACCGCAUACGAUCUACGGAUGAAAGCGGGGGACCUUCGGGCCUCGCGCUAUAGGGUUGGCCGAUAGCUGAUUAGCUAGUUGGUGGGGUAAAGGCCUACCAAGGCGACGAUCAGUAGCUGGUCUGAGAGGACGACCAGCCACACUGGGACUGAGACACGGCCCAGACUCCUACGGGAGGCAGCAGUGGGGAAUUUUGGACAAUGGGCGAAAGCCUGAUCCAGCAAUGCCGCGUGUGUGGAGAAGGCCUUCGGGUUGUAAAGCACUUUUGUCCGGAAAGAAAUCCUUGGCUCUAAUACAGUCGGGGGAUGACGGUACCGGAAGAAUAAGCACCGGCUAACUACGUG